UCUUGUCAACAGAAAUAUUAACCUAUAGCAUUUAAGACAAGGUUGUUUACCCAUUUCAGGGAUAUUCCAAAAGAGCCGAGUGAGUUGCUGUUUGGAUGGAUGUGUCUGUAACUGCUGUUCAGCUACACAAAUGUUCUUGACGUGGUACCCACUGAGGAGUUUGGAUGGAAAUCUCACAACUUACAGUGUGAAAAAAAAACCACCACACUUCAAAUAAUAGUUAGAGUGGACAUUAGCCGUUGGCCCUAUAGGCUCUUCCAAGGAAGGAGCAUGUUUUCAGUGUUGCAGCUGAUUGUGGG
rnacentral:lncRNA from 1 species